rnacentral:pre_miRNA from 1 species
CCACAAUGAGGUAGUAGGUUAUGCAGUUUUUGCCUUGAAUGUUUUAGAGGCACAGGAGCUACUGUGUAACCUUCUGCCUUUGUGG